GUGAGCGUGUGAUGGCACUGUGGGGUUCAGUGCCUCCCUGGCCUUGUGUCCGCGCGUGUGUAUAGCGCUUAUCACGAAGCACUUCCUGAAGGGGGUGAAGGAACAACCACAACAAACGUGUGUGUACGUGUGUGUACGUGUGUGCGUGUGUGCGUUUAAUUGAAGAAAGGUCUAUCUAUCUCGUGAACUAGAAGUGGAGGAAAAUAGGGAGGGAGAACGAUAGGAGAAAGAAGGAAUAAGAGAGAAUAGAAGAAAGGAGGAGAGAGGAGAAUUGGGGAAGUGAAAAGAGGAGAUAAAUAAGAAAAAGGAGAAAGAGGAGAAAGAAGAGAAAAUAAUAAGAAGGGGGAAAAUGUGAAAUAAAACGAUAGCAAUCGUGAUACGCAAGUAAGGAAAGAAAAUAAUAAA